AUAGCAAUACUAGGAGAACGAACCGCACUGAUGAACCACAGCAUUACCAAACAACACCGUUUCGACCUGAAAAAGGUAAAAGUGUUAGACAGACAUAAAAAUACACGUACACUACAAUUCCUCGAAAUGUGCCACAUAGCAAACGACAAAAACAGCAUAAACAGAAGAACCGAUAUCGAUGGUCUCCACUCCAUCUAUGCCGGUAUCUUGAACGAAAUAAGAAAGAUAAACAAAACACGAAAUGAAAAUGAAAACAGAGAUGAAGAGAUAGCUCACAACACGAACACACUAACAAAUACCGCUGCAAACAACCCCAUCGUUCACUCACACAACUAAACACAUAAAGUUAGCUAAAUAAUCGCGUAGGCUGUCAAGUGUCAAGCAAGUUAAAACGUAGACAAAAACAUCAAAAUUAUAGUUGAAAGCUUAAGUUACUAUACUUAAAGCACACCGCCUACGAUACAGUGUGUCACAAAAUUAUCGGCACACAUGCACCGAAGUGAGCGCCAUCUUAGCAUGAGGACAAUCAUAUGUAGUGCAAUACUAAUUCUGUACAAAGAAACAAGCUUCUAGUCCUUGAAAAAGGUAAAAUAUAUUACCGAAACCGUCGGAUGUAGAUGCGAAA